rnacentral:pre_miRNA from 1 species
GAUUUCAAUUGAAAAGGUCAUCAACAACAAAGUUGAAUAACUCAUCAAGAUCUAAAAUUUUUACUUUUGUUAUUUCUUCAUCCGACAAAAUGUUAGUAAUAUUAUUCAUAAAUUUUACAUAUAUGUGUUAUAGUUUAUAAAACCAGAUAAGAGAUAUGUCAAUUUUGUGAACAAUGUUACUAUCACUUUGUCGUAUGAAGAAAUGACCAAAAUAAAAGUUUUAGAUAUUGAUGAGUUAUUCAACUUUGUUGUUGAUGACUUUUUCAGUUGAUAUC